GUGUCGACUCAUUGGCUCCCCAUCUGCUGCUUGUCUCCUCUCAGGCAAUGACGUCACUUGGGAUAAGGAGGCACCUCUUUGUAAGAGUCAGUUGAAAUGUUUUUUCUCACAAUUCCCUCCAUUUGAUCCAUAUUUGCCCCUGGAGUUACAAAGAAGAAAUCCAAUCCAUCUCACACAGGGCUGUCUCUCAGAUAUUUGAAAAUUGGAGUCACAUGCUGCAUGGUUCUUCUGGUGUUUCUCUAUUUUAAGAGGUUUACCUUGUGACCACCCCCAGCCAUAUGCAAUGGAGACUACUACAGCAGCAAUAGAAAUGCUUUUCAAUAUGCAACAGUGGUCACUGUGUUGUCUCAUUGGGCCAGAUAGAGAAAAGCUGUUUGACUUCGUGGAAGAGUAGUCAAUAUCCUGUACCAGCAAAGACAAUCAACUGGAUAUUUGGAGCAGCCCUCCUCCUCAGUGUGUUUCUGCUAAUAAGUACACUCCAGAAGUUGAAAAUGGAAUUAGAUUAUUUGGAAGUAGGAGUUUAUAUUCCUUAAAUGUGAUUGUGAGAUUUACAUGUCAGCCUGGCUUUGUCAUGAAAGCACCCCACACUGCAAUGCUGGGCCAACAACACAUGGGUGCCUGAGAUGCCAAGCUGCUCCAGGGUGUGCCAGCUGCCUCCAGAAAUCCGGCAUGUGUGCCAGCUGCCUCCAGAAAUCCGGCAUGAAAUCUUUUGUCCCAAUCUGGCUAUCAGGAACUACACAAGAACUUCUCUGGGAGACAUCCCCUAUGGAAAAGAAAUUGCUUAUACAUGUGACCCCUACCCAGACAGAGGGAUGAAUUUCAACCUCAUUGGAGAGUGCACCAUCAACUGCACAAGUGACAGCCAAGGGAAUGAGAUUUGAAGCAGUCCUGCCCCUCGCUGUGAAAUUUCUGGUUCUGUUAGUCAGUGCACAUUUCCCCAUGCUCCAGAUAGAUCAGAAUAUCUAGGUGAGAACCUCCAUAUUUCUAUAGUGACAGUAAUUUUAGCUUGUUGGCAUGGCUUUGUUGUGAAUGUCAGACACAAAAUUACCUGCUGGGUGAAUGAAUAAUAGAUGGGUUCUAGAUGGGCCACAUUGUGUCCCAGUUGGUGGUAUUAUGAUGACCAUGCUGGAGUGAGGAGUGUGGGAUGGUGAGGAGAGGAGGGAGUGGAGAGCAGAAUGAAUCAGCCAGGCCCAGAUUUUGAAAAUGUAGCUGAUCUACAUAAUACACAUAUAUAAGCACAGAGAACUAGGCAAAAUGAGGAGACAAAGGAAUAUGUUCCAAAUAAGGGAACAGGACAAAUCCUCAGAAAAAGAACUAAAGGAAACAGAGAUAAACAAUCUACUUGAUAAAGAGACAAACUAAUAAUCAGAAGGAUGCUCAAUAAUCUUGAGAGAAGAAUAGAUGGACAGUGAGAACAUCAAGAAAGAAUUGGAAAGUAUAAAAAAGAACCAAUAAGAACUGAAGAAUACAAUAAUGGAAAUGAAAAAUUCACUAGAGGGAAUCAACAGCAGAGUAGAUGACACAGAAGAAUGGAUCAGCACUCAGGAUGAAAGAGUAAAGGAAAUAAACCAUGCUGAACAGAAAAAAGAAAAAAGAAU
rnacentral:lncRNA from 1 species